ensembl:lncRNA
UCACUCUCCAGCGCUUUCGGGAUCGGACGCGCAUUCGUUCGUUCUUUAAUUCAAUCAUUCCACAGCAGAGGAGCGAGCGGCCUCGAUCGGUCUACAGUUUCCAGCUGUCACAUAUUGUUUUAUGGAACUAGUAGAUAUGAACCACUUUGAAAAGAUUGACAAACUAUUGAAUACUUUAGUGGACAGCCUAUUUGGGGAAAGAGCUCAUCAUGCAUCUAACCAUCCACUCUGCGUUAAGAGCUGUUUAGAUUAAAAUUGGCAACUCCGCAGUGAGUCAGUGUCAUGGACGGAGGACAAAGCAAGUGUAAAUAUAUUUUCUAGUCUAUAUUUUCAUCUCG